UCCCGUGGGGCUCUCCGCUGUGCUCCCUCCCGAGCGUGCGUGUCCCCCGGCAGCCGGCGUGCGCUCGGCGCUGGAGCGCAUCCGGAGCGGCCGCGCAGCCGGGUGCCGGCUUUAGGAACUCAUCGAGGCUCUCCGCUGGCCGUGGAAAUGUCUGUGCAUCAUCCUCCUCCUCCUGCCAGCCCGGCGCCUCACCAGGAAACUUUCGUCCUUGCUCGUUUCGGGUCCCUGCGGGGGUCACUCAUCCACCCGGCUGCCGGAACCUGAAGGAUGUGAAAUCCAAAGAGACCCGGCACAUCAGCAGAGGAACCGGAGGUCCAGAUAUCCCCGUGGCUAAUCAAAGGCGAGACUGGGACGUUUGCAACCAGAGGUAGUUAAGAAGCUGCACAGGCGCGGUGUGUGGCACUGCACGUAUGGUCCUUCCCGGCGCCGUCACUGGAGGGGAAGCUCAAAGAUGCAGAAGGCUCAACAAGUGAUGGAGAGCUGUACAGAGUCUCGGGGAUUGCACUUUAAAGCCCAUGCCGGUUUGGAGUUAUGUGACAAAUAAUAACAGUACGGGAAAAUAAUGUAGCUGGAAAUACUCCAUCCCUCGAUGGGGGAGGGGGGGAAGCAAAGCAAGGGUGAGUGGGGAUAAUGGGAUGGGAGGAACCGGUUUACACUUGAAGGAAAUGGUUAUUUGCACGAUUUCUAGAGCUGUUAAAAACCCAGACCUUUUUAAAGCUGUUACUGGUGAGAUGGAAACUGAAGUCACAGGCUGUUUCUCAAAGAAAUCAAGUCCUGGCCUGUAGGUGAAAGGCUGGUACCAGCUGAUGUGGUAUCCUAUCUCCUGGUUGAAAAGGGAUUCACAUGGAAAGGAGGGCUUUCCUGGUAUGUGGCAGCAAGCCCUCAACCAGCUCUUUUCACAGUCUUUUGUCUUUAAGGUGUCAUUAUUGAUUUCCUUUGAACCAUUCUUUUCAAAUACUGGAUGAAGGCAUAAGGUCAGGAACCCACAGGACCUGUCUCAAAGACAUGAGCUGUGCUUCGUGUCAGGAAUAACCCUCUUCCCUUCCACGCGAAACACCUGCAUGCCUGGUGAUACGGAACCUGGCAGUGCCAAACGUGCAAGCCCAGGAGGUGCACACGUGUAUUCAGGACACGAACCUGCAGCUUUAACUUACUUGUGCUUGUUGUCGUGGUUGUUUCUGCAGGCUGAAUUUUCUGUCAGAUGGAUUUUGUGUGGUAUUAUACCUGAGCUUUGUGUAUAAAUUUCAACACUACUCAGCAUUGUUAAAGCAGCGUUGCUGACUGACAGAACAGCUACAUAAUAGCCAAGUUUGCUGCUAAUAUUGCCUGCAAUAUUAGGGGCAAACAUUAGAAAGUGCAUUUUGAUUGUUAUGUUACAAUGUUCUUAUUUUACAAAACAA